AGAGUUUGAUCAUGGCUCAGAACGAACGCUGGCGGCAGGCCUAACACAUGCAAGUCGAACGAUAUAGUGGCAGACGGGUGAGUAACGCGUGGGAACGUACCUUUCACUACGGAAUAGCUCUGGGAAACUGGUGGUAAUACCGUAUACGCCCUUAGGGGGAAAGAUUUAUCGGUGAAAGAUCGGCCCGCGUUGGAUUAGCUAGUUGGUGAGGUAAUGGCUCACAAAGGCGACGAUCCAUAGCUGGUCUGAGAGGAUGAUCAGCCACACUGGGACUGAGACACGGCCCAGACUCCUACGGGAGGCAGCAGUGGGGAAUCUUGCACAAUGGGCGAAAGCCUGAUGCAGCCAUGCCGCGUGAAUGAUGAAGGCCUUAGGGUUGUAAAAUUCUUUCGCCAGGGAUGAUAAUGACAGUACCUGGUAAAGAAGCCCCGGCUAACUUCGUGCCAGCAGCCGCGGUAAUACGAAGGGGGCUAGCGUUGUUCGGAAUUACUGGGCGUAAAGCGCACGUAGGCGGAUUCUUAAGUCAGGUGUGAAAUCCCGGGGCUCAACCUCGGAACUGCAUUUGAAACUGGGGAUCUAGAGACCAGGAGAGGUUAGCGGAAUACCGAGUGUAGAGGUGAAAUUCGUAGAUAUUCGGUGGAACACCAGUGGCGAAGGCGGCUAACUGGACUGGUACUGACGCUGAGGUGCGAAAGUGUGGGGAGCAAACAGGAUUAGAUACCCUAGUAGUCC
rnacentral:rRNA from 1 species